GGAGUGAAGAAGAGUAAGAGUAAGGAAAGGUCAUGUUGCUGGGAGAGAUGGAUUGGGAAGGUGAGAGAGAGCUGUGAGAGCAGGGGGUUGGACUAGAUGACCCUUCCAACUCUACAGUUCUAGGAUUCCAAGUUCUACUUCUGAGUAACAACGUAUGACAGAAAUGGGGAGCCUAUUUUCAUCAGCGGGCUGCAUUCCCUUCUGGGCAACCUUCCAAGGUCGACAUGCCACUAGUAGAUCCGUGGGGGGAGAGGUGCCCUCCCCAGCUGCAGCAGGAGCAGCCUCUGGAGAAGCCCAGUGAAGCAGCUAAGCCAACCUUAAACCUGCAGGAAUGGGUGCGUCGCUCAGAGCAGUGCGGAGCUUAUCGGCGGAAACAUCUGCACUUUCCUGGAAGCGUACCGUUGUAUCUGCCAGCACUGAGCCAUUUCUGUACAUUAGAAAGGGAAAAGAGAAGCGUUGGCGGAUCUGGAACUGCAGCUUGACAGCCACAUAUUCCCAUCACUCAGCAGAAGAGCAGCUGCUUUGCAUGCAGAAGGUCCUUGGUUUAAAUCUCUGGCUUUGCCAGGGAACAUGGCCAGAGAGGAUUGUUUUCUGUCUGAGCAUCAAUUGGCAUGAAACCAGAAUUGUAGAGUUGGAGGGGACCUCAAGGGCCAUCUGUUCCACCCCCCUGCAGUGGAGACAUGUACAUGCUCAGCAGAAACACAGACACAGGAAGCUGCCCUAUACUCAGCUGGACCCACGACCCACCUAGCUCAGGCUGCGGUAUGCUUCGGAGGACGAAUCCAACAAGUCCUCAGUAAAAUUCAUUGUGAUGUGUCACCUGCGGGGGUUGUUGAAGUUUGAGCAUCUCUUUCUGCUCGUUCUAUGGGCACCACCUGAGCAGGAAGCAGGUCAAUGGGGCGAGAGGGGCCCCCCAGCUGGAGCAGGACUAGCCCCCGGAAGGAGACCCGGAAGCUGCCUCCACAGUCAAGCGUUCCAGCCCACCAUCACCCCGCAAUGGAAGGAAUGUGUAGGUGCGUCGCUCAGAGCAGUGCGGAGCGUAUCGGCGGAAACACCUGCACUUUCCUGGAAGCGUACCGUUGUAUCUGCCAGCACUGAACCGCUACUGUACGUUGGAAAGGGAAAAGAGAAGCGUUGGCGGAUCUGGAAAUGCAGCUGGACAGCUCCACACUCCCAUCACUCAGCAGAAGAGCAGCUGCUUUGCAUGCAGAAGGUCCUUGGUUUAAAUCUCUGGCUUUGCCAGGGAACGCGGCCAGAGAGGAUUGUUUUCAGCCUGAGCAUAUCAUGGCAUGAAACCUGAAUUGUAGAGGUGGAGGGGACCUCAAGGGCCAUCUGUUCCACCCCCUGCAGUGGAGACAUGUACAUGCUUAGCAGAAACACAGAGAGACACAGGAAGCUGCCCUAUACUCAGCUGGAGCCACGGCCCACCUAGCUUAGGCUGCGGUAUGCUUCGGAGGACGAAUCCAACAAGUCCUCAGUAAAAUUCAUUGUGAUGUGGAGACUGGCAGAUGGCAUGCACAAAAACAGGCGUGUGUGGCCAGCAUCAUCCUGGAGGCUUCCCCAUCCGCUGCUUUUUUCCAGCUGGAACCUGCUGGAACUCAGUUCAGGCACCUCUCAGGUGGGCAUCAUUGCCAUUCUAACUAAGAGAACGAGGCUCUUAAUCUGAGGGUCAUGGGUUUCGGCCUCACUUUGGACAAGAGAUUCCUGCGUCGCAGGGGGUUGGACUAGAUGACCCUCAGGGUCCCUUCCAACUCUAGGAUUUCGUGAUUCUGCCUAGGGCCCCUCUGGACAGCAAUCCCAUGUUAACCAGGAAGGGAUGAAGACACUUAGAGGCUCCAAGCACUGAAAUGAUUAUGGUGCCCCCUCACCAUAUGCGGUUCAAAAUACAAACAAUGCUAAACCAUAAAAUAAAAUCUGUAAAAUAACGCAAAACAAGACACAGAUUUACGAUCUGAUUUCCUCACAGUGUUUCGAUUGCUGGUAGUAGGACACCCCCCUAGUUUUGUGGGGAAUAAGUAAUCAAAAGAGAGCAGAAAAAUGCAGAAAAGAGAGGGAAGGAAAUGUAAAGAAGUCUAACCAAGUCUUGAUUUUUCCUGUGGUGACUUCUUCAAAUGUGAAAUUCUUUCCCCCCAAAAUUCCUCCUUUUCUGAGGUGCCCCUGAUUUCCUGGUGCCCUAAGUAACCCAGCACUGCUGCCAGCACUGGGGCAAGCAUUGCAAAACAACUAAGCAGAAUGAUGUCCGGACAGCCCAGUAUAAAUCCACAGCUAAUGAAUUAUUAUUGUGGCAAUGACAUGUAGCAGGAUACAUCCACCAAAACGCCCCCCACAACUGCCUGAAGGAGCCUCAGGUCUUAUCCUCGAGGCCCCUCACAACAUCCAGUCCAUCUCCACAUAGAAAGAGCACACCGUUCCCUAGAAUAACGACUCUCCUUCCUUCCACCUUCUCCAGCCACACCCGUCUGCCAUUCUCCCUUUCGACACACCUGCAAAAGGUGCCCAACACCCCUUUGUUAUCACCUUGCCUGACAAAAGUCCAGCACAAGAUUUGCCACGGGUUUUUGCCCCUGUCCGACAAUAUCUGUGGGGCUGAUCUCCCUCCCCAUUUGCCUCCCCCCCCCCCGCGAAGCUCCAGGCCACCCACUUUGCCAUCUGCUCACCUGGGCACAAUGCCACGAGCAUCAAGGC